rnacentral:tRNA from 1 species
GCAUCGGUAGUUUAAUGGUAAAAUAUAUCGAUUGUUAUCGAUCGGCUCCGCGUUCGAUUCGCGGCUGGUGCA